UGUCCUACGGGAGGCAGCAGUGGGGAAUAUUGCACAAUGGGGGGAACCCUGAUGCAGCGACGCCGCGUGGGUGAAGAAGUCAUUCGUGACGUAAAGCCCUCUCAGCAGGGAAGAAAAUGACGGUACCUGACUAAGAAGCCCCGGCUAACUACGUGCCAGCAGCCGCGGUAAUACGUAGGGGGCAAGCGUUAUCCGGAUUUACUGGGUGUAAAGGGAGCGUAGGCGGCGAUGCAAGUCAGAAGUGAAAGCCCGGGGCUCAACUCCGGGACUGCUUUUGAAACUGUGUUGCUAGAUUGCAGGAGAGG
rnacentral:rRNA from 1 species